rnacentral:rRNA from 1 species
CCCUUAGAUGUUCUGGGCCGCACGCGCGCUACACUGAUGCAUUCAACGAGUCUAAAACCUGCUCUGAUAGGGGUGGGUAAUCUUUUGAAUGUGCAUCGUGAUUGGGAUAGAUGAUUGCAAUUUUUCAUCUUCGACGAGGAAUGCCUAGUAAACGCAAGUCAUCAGCUUGCAUUGAUUACGUCCCUGCCCUUUGUACACACCGCCCGUCGCUCCUACCGAUUGAAUGAUCCGAUGAAUAUCAUGGAUUGAGGAUGCAAGUAGGUUCGCCUAUCUUCAUCUUCGAGAAGUGAAGUAAAUCUUAUCAUUUAGAGGAAGGAGAAGUCGUAACA